rnacentral:rRNA from 1 species
AACGAACGCUGGCGGCAUGCCUAACACAUGCAAGUCGAACGAGACCUUCGGGUCUAGUGGCCCACGGGUGCGUAACGCGUGGGAACCUGCCCUUAGGUUCGGAAUAACUCCACGAAAGGGGUGCUAAUACCGAAUAAUGUCUUCUGACCAAAGAUUUAUCGCCUUUGGUUGUGCCCGCGUUGGAUAAGCUAUUUGUUAGGGUAAAAGACUACUACGGGGACGAUCCAUAGCUGGUCUGAGAGGAUGAUCAGCCACACUGGGACUGAGACACGGCCCAGACUCCUACGGGAUGCAGCAGUGGGGAAUAGUGGACAAUGGGCGAAAGCCUGAUCCAGCAAUGCCGCGUGAGUGAUGAAGGCCUGAGGGUUGUAAAGCUCUUUUAACCGGGAUGAUAAUGACAGUACCGGGAGAAUAAGCUCCGGCUAACUCCGUG